GAAGUGUGAAGCGUUUAACAUGGUCCCAGGGCAUGCUCCCUAUUGAGGUUUAUUUAUUUGUUUGUUUUUGCAAAAUAAUAUCUGUCAUUAUCAUCAGAACCCAUUUUACACAUGGGGAAGAACAAUUGUUUAGUCAAUAAUUCAAGAAGGUUCAGACUUUAAAGUCUUUCUUGGCCUUAUGUAAAAAUAACAUAGUUCUUGUAAUUGUUUAGCAUUUGAUGAAGUUUUAAUUUAACAAAAAUCAGUGCAAGAGGAAGCCAAUAUAUAAAGCAGUCUCUCACCUCUAUCCCGCGACAAGUUUCACAGCAUCCCUCUACCACCCCAUCACCUCACUCUUGGCUGGUUUCUAUCCCAGUUAAGGAGGGGGGUACUAUGGGUUCGGGCCAAAUUCUGAGCUCGGAGCCCUCCCCCAGACAGCACACCAAAUACGCAUAAAUUACUAUACAAAUGACUUUAUUUUGAUUUCAUGUAUGUGUAAACUUGUGAAUUACAAUAAGGAUAUAAUUACAGGUAAGACCAUUGAUGGCGUGUCAUUACCAUGUUUAGGGCAUGUUAACUUUUUUCUUUUUUAUCUAAAGCAUCUGUUAUGAAAAAUAGCAACCUACACAUUUAGAAACUAUAGCUAACAUGCCACAGCUGUGAUACAAAUCUUUAGUGAAAUAUCUAUUCCCUUAACAGAUUAUCUAUUAUAAAUUCUACAAGUUAGUCAAAAUUUACCACAAUAAAUACAAUAGAGUGUCAUAAAUUCUAGUAAAGGUGGUCAUGAGUAGUUUAAAAAGCUUUCUAAUUUAAGUUGGUGCAGGAUGAUGUUUACCUCUUUUUCAUCAGUCUUUUAAUGGCUGUUUUUAGAUCAUGUUUGACUUUCUCCAUAGCUUUUUAAAGUGGUUCAUUCUCAAUCAAAUUCACAUGUGUUGCAAACUUUAUCAUCAGGGUCGCAAUAAAAAAAUACUAUAGUAAAUUUCUUGAAUUCAUUUGUUGUGGUAAUUCUAUAGUUGCUGUGGUAAUAUAACAACUACAGGUGCUGGUCAUAUAAUUAGAAUAUCGUGAAAAAGUUCAUUUUUUUAUUGUAAAUUAUUUUAAAAAAUGAAACUUUCAUAUAUUCUAGAUUCCCUACAUGUAAAGUAAAACAUUUCAAAAGUUUUUUUUUUUUGUAAAUUUGUUGAUUAGAGCGUACAGCUAAUGAAAGUCCAAAAUCCAGUAUCUCAAAAUAUUAGAAUAUUUACAUUUGAGUUUCAUUAAAUGACCAUCCCUACAGUAUAAAUUCCGGGUAUCUUUUGUUUUUUGAAACCACACUAAUGGGGAAGACUGCUGACUUGGCAAUGGUCCAGGAGACAAUCAUUGACACCCUCCACAAAGAGAGUAAGUCACAGAAGGUCAUUACUGAAUGGGGUGGCUGUUUACAGAGUGAUGUAUCAAAGCAUAUUAAAUGCAAAGUUGACUGGAAGGAAGAAAUUGGGUAGGCAAAGGUGCACAAGCAACAGGGAUGACCGCAAGCUUGAGAAUACUGUCAAGUAAAGCCGAUUCAAACACUUGGGAGAGCUUCACAAUGAGUAGAAUGAAGCCGGAGUCAGCGCAUCAAGAGUCACCACACUCAGACAUCUUCAGGAAAAGGACUACCAAGCCACUUCUGAACCAAAGACAACGUCAGAAGCAUCUUACCUGGGCUAAGGAGAAAAAGAACUGGACAGUGAACAGUGGUCGAAAGUCCUCUUUUCAGAUAAAAGUAAAUUUUGCAUUUCAUGUUGAAAUCAUGGUCCCAGAGUCUGAAGGAAGACUGGAGAGGCACAGAAUCCAAGCUGCUUGAAGUCUAGUGUGAAGUUUCUGAAGUCAAUAAUGAUUUGGGGGGGCGUGACGUCUGCUGGUGUUGGUCCAUUGUGUUUUAUCAAGUGCAAAGUCAAUGCAGCCAUCUUCCAGGAGAUUUUGGAGCACUUUAUGCUUCCAUCUGCUGACAAGCUUUAUGGAGAUGCUGAUAUCCUUUUCCAGCAGGACUUUAGCAUCUGCCCACAGUGCAAAAACCACUUCCAAGUGGUUUGCUGACCAUGAUAUUACUGUGCUUUAUUGGCCAGCCAAUAUGCCUGACCUGAAUCUAUGGGAUAUUUUCAAGAGAAAGAUGAGAAACAGUCGAUCCAACAAUAUACAGAUGAUCUGAAGGCUCAAUAGUGCCUCAGCAGUGCCACAGGCUGAUCACUUCCAUGCCACACUUCACUGAUGCAGUAAUCUGUGCUAGGAGCAAGUCAUUUGCUGUAAUAUGUCCUGCCGAUCAAGUAUUGAGUGCACAAAAGAACAUACUUUAAAGAACUUUAACUUUUCUGUUUUGCAAAUCCAUUUUUUGAUUGAUUUUAGGAAACAUUCUAAUAUUUUGAAAUACUGGAUUUUGGACUUUCAUGAGCUGUAUGCUCUAAUCAUCAAAAUUAAAAAAAAAAAAAACUUUUGAAAUGUUUUACUUUACAUGUAGGGAAUCUAGAAUAUAUGAAAGUUUCAUUUUUAAAAAUAAUUUAUAAUAAAAAAAAUGAACUUUUUGAUGAUAUUCUAAUUAUAUGACCAGCACCUGUAUAGUAAUAUAAACAAAUUACCCAAUACUGUUUUCUACAACUAUUUCUACAAUACAAUUUACUGUAGUAAAAUUAAAGUAUACUUCAGUAUUUAUUACAGUUGAUCAGUUCACUAUAGUUAAUACUACAGUAAGCUGUAGCAUUCAUUAAAGUGUGAGAAACAAAUUAACAAAAUAAUCCUAACCCCUGGGGGACACCUACUCCUAAACCUACCACUACUAGGGGGGUAAUAAUCUGGCAGGGGGUCGAAAUUUGGCACAACACCUACUUACAGCACUGUACCUAUCUAUAGACCUACUCUAAUUAAGACAUGCAUUCAAGAAAUGUAUUAAAAACAGAGACAUCUUGUCUCAGCCUUGCUCAAAGGCAGCGGAAACAUGCAUGCUAGUGGGUUCAUUUGUUACGCACUUCAAUCAAUUCCACACCCGACGUUCUUGGUUUGCUCUUAUUUAUUAAAUACAGGCAAUUGGUUGAUGAAACAUUAAGAAAAGUUGUAGGCUACAAAACGAAAUUCACUUUAAAGAAAGGCUUUCUACAAAACAAAACUUAAAGGGUCAUGAAACCCUGUUUCAGCAGCAGUCAGUUUCUCACCAGUUUUGAAAAAUGCUACAGAAGUGGGCGUGGUUCAGCUGCGGAGUGGAGGGGGAUGAGGGGAGACUGACAGCACAGCAACGGCUUCUGAUUCAGACAGUUUUAUUUCACCAUCAUUAAAAGCAUUAAACCACAAAUACACACUGCAAAUUACCAUUACAUGCAACACAAUAUACACAUGGUUUUUACAAUAGUAAUGCACACAUAAAUGCACAGCCAUUCGCAUUUUGUUCUCUGCAUUGAAUACAUCUAUGAACACGCUGUUGCAUCUUUGAUAACUUCUGAGUCUUAUUUUGCGCGUUUACAUAAGCCAUUUGAUCAGUUAAAGAGCCGUAAAUACCAGUUAUACUCACAGUGGGGAUGAAUCGAAUUUUUGUCAGUGACACGGAUAUUGAAGAGAACCCGUGCGACAAAGAAGCUCUUACAAAGCAAGAACAAACACUCAUUUUUGAUCUAUUAAUGCAACUCUCUCUUAUUGUAUGCGAUCUCACUAUUUGAAGCGCCUGUCAGAGGAAAUGCUGUCGCAUGCUGUCAUGAAUAAUUAAGCACGUGCUGUCAAGAAUUAAGCAACGCGUCUUCUCAUAGGAUAAGGACACGCAGUCUCAUGAAUAAUUAUGAGCAGGGUUGACAGGUUUUCACAACAAAACCCGCCCAAUUGCUACUCAAAACUAGCCCAAUCGCGUUUCAGGUGGGUUCCCCGGUAAAAAUUGCGUUCCGGGGGAUAAUAUCCAUGUUUUUGGCGGGGUUCCCCUGGUAAAAUUAGCAUUCCAGAGGCUAAACAUCAUGUUAUUUGGGUCUCUUUAACCCCCGGACAUGAAAUACAACCCGCGGCAACAGUGUUAAAGUAGCCCAACUUGGCAACGCUGAUUAUGAGACACCGAUCAGUCAUCACUGUACUAUAGUACGAGAAAAGUCACAUCUUGUGAUGUUGACACAAAGAUGAAUUUAAACCUGGAAGUUGAAAAUAGCGCAAUUUUUUUUUUAAAAUUAAAUACUUUUCUCAUACAUUCAAAACUAACGGAUGGUAACAUUGACUUCUAUCAUGUUUACCACACAUAAAUCUGAAAAAUUUGGUUUAGGGUUUUAUGACCCCUUUAAUGAAUUGGUCAAAAUCAUGUUUGAUCCAUAUCUCCCAAUAUACUGCGCAUCUUAUGAUGUAGCCUAUCUUGCGCACGCUGUUCACUUUUCAUAAUUAACAUACGUGAAAUUAAAAAAAUAAUAAUAUUAUAGGCUAAUAUUAAACAAAUAUGAAUCUAUAUAGGCUACCCAGCUAACAGAAUUGUGUUAUAAGAACGUUCUCUAAAUAUUCAGUGUUGGUUCUGGGAACAUAAAAAACGUCCAGUUUUCUUGACGUUAGAGGAACGUUUUUAUAAGGUAUAAUGUUCCUCAAACGUUUUAUUCAACUUAAUUUUGAUCUAAAAUUCAACAUUCUAGGAACGUUGAUUUGUAACAUUCCAAGAACAUAAAAAUGUCCAGUUUCCUUAAUGUUAGUAGAAUGUUAUUUAAAGGUUAGUAAGAUGUUCCUGAAACAUUCUUUCAAUCAUUCAAACACCUGCUGUGAACAAACACUGAAAGAAAGAGAAAUAAGAACACAAACUACAACUUUCUUCAGCCACAGCCUUAGAUGAACUGAAGAUAAAAGACAUUAAAUCUCUGAAGAUCUGAUUCAACAACUCCACAAACAGCAUCACCAGCUUCACUUAUUACUAACCAGACUGACUUUAUUUCUGUCACACGUCUACAGAAGCUCUUACUGGGAAUUAACAGAGGUUUAGAUGUUGAUGUCUUAUUGAAAAUGUUUCGUUUGAGGUCACCACUUUAACAUAGUCAUUUGACCAUUAAAACAGGCAUGUUGAUCUGCUUUAUCAAUGCAGAAAUG